UUUUGUUAGUUUGUGUCAGUUCAUCUUUAACAGUGUGACAUAACUACAUGUGUCAUGCUUUGAAGGAAAGCUUAAAUAUGUAGGACACAUCUCCAACAGAGAGUUAGAGAGUGCAUUGACUUUAUGGUUAAUGGGGAUUGCAUUAGGAUCAAUCUCUAUGGCACUGAGAUGCUCAACCCCUAACAUUAUCAUUCCAAGAGAUCAGACCAAGAAGGCAGUCAUGAGAGCUUCCAUGCUUCCCAACAAGCAAAUCACACCCAAAGCAUCAAUUCCUUUAAUCAGAUCCUGCAUGCAUAUCAAGAUUUAUGAAGAUAAGGCGAUGGGAAUAAUCUGCUAUAAAGAUGAAAAGGGAGAAGUAGUCUGCGAGGGAUAUGAUGAAGGACCACGAUACAGUAGACCGCCGCAGGAGGAAGAACACCAAGAAAGGCAGAAAGAAGUGCAGAUCCCAAGCUUCCUUCAAGCAGUGAAGCCUCAGUAUGCCAAAGAAGACCCUUACUUCUGUCAGAUUGUUCGCGAGCAGUGGUAGAAGCUUGAGGACGAUGAUGAUGACGACGAGUUGGAGAUUUAUCUCGCAUGAAGACUGCUGCUUAUGAUUUGACACUGUAAACAUGUCAUGAACUACAAAAAGGCAGUUCAUGCUGCGGAUACAAAGCUGGUUUCUGUGUACAAAAUUUCUAUGUCCAAACGAGUGAACUUAUCAUUAACCCCGAUUUGGAUUCCUUUAACGUGAA